rnacentral:rRNA from 2 species
UUCUCCCGAUUCAGAUGAAAGGUAACACACCAUCCCAUUUCGAACUGGAUCGUGAAGAUUUCACUCAGCGAUGGUAGCGUUUUUCGCAAGAGUAGCUUUUCGGGAGAAC